AGAGUUUGAUCAUGGCUCAGGAUGAACGCUAGCGGGAGGCUUAACACAUGCAAGUCGAGCGGGAUUCCCUUCGGGGAUGAGAGCGGCAGACGGGUGCGUAACGCGUAUGCAACCUGCCUUAUGCAGGGGGAUAGCCCAUGGAAACGUGGAUUAAUACCCCAUAGAAUCAUUUUUCCGCAUGGGAGAAUGAUUAAAACUGAGGCGGCAUAAGAUGGGCAUGCGUAGGAUUAGCUAGUAGGUAGGGUAAUGGCCUACCUAGGCGACGAUCCUUAGGGGUUCUGAGAGGAUUAUCCCCCACACUGGAACUGAGACACGGUCCAGACUCCUACGGGAGGCAGCAGUGAGGAAUAUUGGUCAAUGGGCGAGAGCCUGAACCAGCCAUCCCGCGUGCAGGAUGACGGCCCUAUGGGUUGUAAACUGCUUUUCUACUUGAAGAAACCUGGUUACGUGUAACCAGUUGCCGGUAAAGUAGGAAUAAGCAUCGGCUAACUCCGUGCCAGCAGCCGCGGUAAUACGGAGGAUGCAAGCGUUAUCCGGAUUCAUUGGGUUUAAAGGGUGCGCAGGUGGGCUUGUAAGUCAGUGGUGAAAUACUGCCGCUUAACGGUAGAACUGCCAUUGAUACUGCAGGUCUUGAGUAUGGUUGAGGUAGGCGGAAUGUGUUGUGUAGCGGAAAUGCAUAGAUAUGACACAGAACACCGAUUGCGAAGGCAGCUUACUAAGCCAUUACUGACGCUGAGGCACGAAAGCGUGGGGAGCGAACAGGAUUAGAUACCCUAGUAGUCC
rnacentral:rRNA from 1 species